rnacentral:rRNA from 1 species
UACGUAGGUGACAAGCGUUGUCCGGAUUUACUGGGCGUAAAGAGCGCGCAGGCGGUCGUUCAAGUCGAGUGUGAAAGCCCCCGGCUCAACUGGGGAGGGUCAUUCGAUACUGAUCGACUCGAAGGCAGGAGAGGGAAGUGGAAUUCCCGGUGUAGUGGUGAAAUGCGUAGAUAUCUGGAGGAACACCGGUGGCGAAGGCGGCAUCCUGGACCAACACUGACGCUGAGGAGCGAAAGCCAGGGGAGCAAACGGG